rnacentral:rRNA from 1 species
CACGUAGGAGACGAGCGUUAUCCGGAUUUACUGGGCGUAAAGCGCGUGCAGGCGGUUCAGCAAGUUGGAUGUGAAAGCUCCUGGCUUAACUGGGAGAGGUCGUUCAAAACUACUGAACUUGAGAGUGGUAGAGGGAGGUGGAAUUCCGGGUGUAGUGGUGAAAUGCGUAGAUAUCCGGAGGAACACCAGUGGCGAAAGCGGCCUCCUGGACCAUUUCUGACGCUCAGACGCGAAAGCUAGGGUAGCGAACGGG